rnacentral:rRNA from 1 species
GACUCCGUGAAGCUGGAUUCGCUAGUAAUCGCGCAUCAGCCAUGGCGCGGUGAAUACGUUCCCGGGCCUUGUACACACCGCCCGUCAAGCCAUGGGAGCCGGGGGUACCUGAAGUCCGUAACCGCGAGGAUCGGCCUAGGGUAAAACUGGUGACUGGGGCUAAGUCGUAACAAGGUAUC